CCGGGGGAUAGCUCAGGCGUAAGAGUAAGUAUGUCUGUUCACAAAGUUAACUCAAGAGGAUAAUAGAAUUUAGUGUAUUGAGAGUGAUAAUUUAUGAGUUGUGUGAAUGUGUAUAUAUGAAUGAAACGUACCUCCUUGUGAAGACUUACUCACUAAGAAAUAAUAUCCUUGCUUGGAUUAUCGUGCCGCCCACUAUCACCUGACAUAUCCCCUGACCUGAUGGGUUCGACCGACUGCAUGGAGUUCAUCCA
rnacentral:lncRNA from 1 species